AUUGAACGCUGGCGGCAGGCCUAACACAUGCAAGUCGAGCGGAGCGGCGGACGGGUGAGUAAUGCCUAGGAAUCUGCCUGGUAGUGGGGGAUAACGUCCGGAAACGGGCGCUAAUACCGCAUACUAGCAGAUGAGCCUAGGUCGGAUUGGCUAGUUGGGGGGGGAAAGGCCUACCAAGGCGACGAUCCGUAACUGGUCUUAGGGGAUGAUCAGUCACACGGGCACGUAGACACGGUCCAGACUCCUACGGGAGGCAGCAGUGGGGAAGAUUGGACAAGGGGCGAAAGCCUGAGCCAGCCAUGCCGCGUGUGUGAAGAAGGUCUUCGGAUUGUAAAGCACUUUAAGUUGGGAGGCGUUACCAACAGAAUAAGCACCGGCUAACUUCGUGCCAGCAGCCGCGGUAAUUC
rnacentral:rRNA from 1 species